rnacentral:rRNA from 1 species
GAUGAACGCUGGCGGCGUGCCUAAUACAUGCAAGUCGAGCGAACAGAUGAGGAGCUUGCUCCUCUGACGUUAGCGGCGGACGGGUGAGUAACACGUGGAUAACCUACCUAUAAGACUGGGAUAACUUCGGGAAACCGGAGCUAAUACCGGAUAAUAUAUUGAACCGCAUGGUUCAAUAGUGAAAGACGGUUUUGCUGUCACUUAUAGAUGGAUCCGCGCCGCAUUAGCUAGUUGGUAAGGUAACGGCUUACCAAGGCAACGAUGCGUAGCCGACCUGAGAGGGUGAUCGGCCACACUGGAACUGAGACACGGUCCAGACUCCUACGGGAGGCAGCAGUAGGGAAUCUUCCGCAAUGGGCGAAAGCCUGACGGAGCAACGCCGCGUGAGUGAUGAAGGACUUCGGAUCGUAAAACUCUGUUAUUAGGGAAGAACAAAUGUGUAAGUAACUAUGCACGUCUUGACGGUACCUAAUCAGAAAGCCACGGCUAACUACGUG